GUUCAAAGAGAGGUCAAGGCUUUACUGCAGUCUGCACUUGAUAUUGCACUCUGUGUUGUACGUGCUAAUCCCAAAGUUCUUGAGGGGUUGGGAGCUCAAUUGGAAGAGAAUGAGAAAGUAGAAGGUGAGCAACUACAAGAAUGGUUGAGCAUGGUCGUUGCACCAGCAGAACUUAAUUUUUUCAUAAAGGGCAAAGAAGGAUCUUUACUUCCACUGCAAGCAGGCUCUGGAUGACAGAAAGUGCAAGCUUAACCCAGUCAACAGAGUACAAAAACGAAUUUCGAAUAAGGAUUUCCACGCCUUCAUCUGUGCUCUCUAGGGAAACAAAGCUAUAUUCCUGAACCAGAUGGGCAUCACUUGCUGGCAUCCAGACAGCGUGAUUUUGCAUGUGUUAGUAAGGUAAAUUGACAGCUACUUAACUCCUACAAACACCAUUGUUAUAUACCACGAUCACAGAUUGUUAACUCGAAGAGAAGGCAUGCGCAAAAGAUCUAGCCAAGAGUUUCUUGGUUCUCUAGAGGUGAAAUGAAAAUAGGCUCGUGAUCAGAGUGAUGUCUGUUGGUAUUUUCUUCUACAUCACUUGUACAUGUGCCCAAUUAUUCUUAGUAAUUACACAAGAAUCAAUACCUUAAUAUUGUAAUAUACAUCUGUACUGCAGCUUACAAAGAACUAAUCCAUGUCUAAUGUUGUGGGAGAAGGUGUGAAACUGUGUAUACAAUGUAAUCUUUCUGAUUAUGAGACAAAGUUUCAGUAGGUUGCCAUAAUCUUUGACUUGUGUAAAAUUACAAGUAUUGGAUGAGGUAAUAGUGACAAUUCCU
rnacentral:misc_RNA from 1 species